rnacentral:SRP_RNA from 1 species
CCGUGCUAGACGGGGAGGUAGCGGUGCCCUGUACCUGCAAACCGCUAUAGCAGGGUUGAAUUCCUGUUCCGAGGAAUAAUCUUGUGAGGUCUGGCCCAGGCAAGUGGCGAUGAAGAUCGGGUCCCACGCAACGAAAAUUUGUGAACCCCGUCAGGUCCGGAAGGAAGCAGCGGUAAGCAAAACCUUUUGUGUGCCGUGGGGCGGCCUGGUCAGAACCAACUACCUGUAUACCGCUCGGAAGGUUAUAUUCGAAGACAGGUGCACGG